UGAUAGGUAAUGAUGGGAAGAGUAGGUGGAUGGACUUAGUGACAGAGAGCCGGGUUAGGUGAAAGCCGGUGCUAAGAAAAUUUACUGAAGAUGGCCCCUGAACUUCGUGAUUGAACUCUUUGAAAUAAGAUUUAGAUCAUGGCGGUAGCAACCGUUACAUUGCAGGGUGAUGAAUGUCACUUGUUGAGAUUAUUAUCGGAAGAUAAUAAUAAACUAGGGUGGUACCACGAGAAAAACUCGUCCCUAUA
rnacentral:ncRNA from 1 species